rnacentral:rRNA from 1 species
UGCAGUCGAACGGCAGCACGGGGGCAACCCUGGUGGCGAGUGGCGAACGGGUGAGUAAUACAUCGGAACGUGUCCUGUAGUGGGGGAUAGCCCGGCGAAAGCCGGAUUAAUACCGCAUACGAUCUGUGGAUGAAAGCGGGGGAUCUUCGGACCUCGCGCUACAGGGGCGGCCGAUGGCAGGUUAGCUAGUUGGUGGGGUAAAGGCCUACCAAGGCGACGAUCUGUAGCUGGUCUGAGAGGACGACCAGCCACACUGGGACUGAGACACGGCCCAGACUCCUACGGGAGGCAGCAGUGGGGAAUUUUGGACGAUGGGCGCAAGCCUGAUCCAGCAAUGCCGCGUGUGUGAAGAAGGCCUUCGGGUUGUAAAGCACUUUUGUCAGGAAAGAAACGUCAUGGGCUAAUACCCCGUGAAACUGACGGUACCUGCAGAAUAAGCACCGGCUAACUACGUGCCAGCAGCCGCGGUAAUGCGUAGGGUGCAAGCGUUAAUCGGAAUUACUGGGCGUAAAGCGUGCGCAGGCGGUCUGUUAAGACCGAUGUGAAAUCCCCGGGCUUAACCUGGGAACUGCAUUGGUGACUGGCAGGCUUGAGUGUGGCAGAGGGAGUAGAAUUCCCGUGUACAGUGAAAUGCGU